GACGAGCGCUGGCGGCGUGCUUAACACAUGCAAGUCGAACGGUAAGGCCCUUCGGGGUACACGAGUGGCGAACGGGUGAGUAACACGUGGGUGAUCUGCCCUGCACUUCGGGACAAGCCUGGGAAACUGGGUCUAAUACCGGAUAGGACUCCGGACUGCAUGGUCUGGGGUGGGAAGCUUUUGCGGUGUGGGAUGGGCCGGCGGCCUAUCAGCUUGUUGGUGGGGUGAUGGCCGACCCAGGCGAGGACGGGUAGCCGGCCUGAGAGGGUGACCGGCCACACUGGGACUGAGAUACGGCCCAGCCUCCUACGGGCGGCAGGAGUGGGGAAUAUUGCACAAUGGGCGCAAGCCUGAUGCAGCGACGCCGCGUGAGGGAUGACGGCCUUCGGGUUGUCAACCUCUUUCAGCAUCGACGAAGCGAAAGUGACGGUAGGUGCAGAAGAAGGACCGGCCAACUACGUGCCAGCCGCCGCGGUAA
rnacentral:rRNA from 1 species